CCCGUUCCAUUUGUUCCCACAGGGAGCCCCUGCAGCGCCGUGCUGGGUCCCGCCCGGCGGCCGGCGCUGAGGGAGCGCUCCAGCUCAGCCCCGAUGUGGGACCAGUCCCCAGGGCCGAGCGGUGCCAGGCACGGUGAGGGCAGGCAGAGACCCCCGAGGCACUCACGGAAAGGAACCUUGGUGCCUGCACUGGCAGUGACUCACUGCUUGUUUUCCGCUGAUUUAUUGCUUGGGAAAGAACCGACAGCUCUGCUCAUCAUCCGGCUCACCAUUCAAGCUAUGAGGUCCCACUCCAGCAUGUACUGAGCAAGAGUAAUGCCUUGAAAAAUUCACAGUAGGAAAGACAGACCCUAAGGAAUGGGAUUUACCAAUUCAGAACCCAAGAGGAGUGUGUGUUGAUUAAGAUGACCACAGCACCAGGGGAGGAGCUGCAUUCAGCUGUUCUAGCUUACACACAGGGAUUAAUAUGCAAUGGGUGAGUCAACUGUGGAUUGUCAAAUCUGGGUUACACUCCCCAAAAUUCUGUUGGAAGGCUCCUCUAAACCUGAAAUAUGUGGAGUAGUACUUUUUUUAUGUGGUUGUAGAGAACAUAAACUUUAAAUGAACCCAGGUUUGACUUCCUAAAUAUGCUUUUCACUGUGUGAGCUACAGUGCAGCCUGAACAAGAGUGUGUUUUACAGAGUCAUGAGUCAGGCUUUGAUCAACACCCCAUUCCUGCAUUCUUGCACUUGGCCCAGGCAGGAAGCUCUCAAACCUUUUGGACAAGGAUGUGGGGAAACUGGGAAUGUUCAUAGAGGCAGAAUAAAAGAUGGUGAAGUAGGCUAUAAGAGAAUGGACUAUGGAUGAAGCAGGGCCAUAGUCUAUGAGUAAUGCAUAGCACUGACAUUAAUGUGAAGUUUGCAUCCUGCCCUCUGAUAUCUGUGCAAACUUCCUACAGGAAGGCAGCAAUGGCAGACUGAAGAGAUGAUAAAAUCCUCUAUUUAUAUGGGGGACACCAACAUUUCUGCCUGUUUUUUGUGGAGUGCUGGAUGUACGAUUAAAGCUAAGUGGAAGUGCUUGCUCUGUCGUUGGCUGGCUGGCAAGAUGUUCAUUCAUAGAGGUGGAGGUUUGGCAGGAGCCAGAGGAGCUUGUGGCUUGUCAGAGCAUGGGCAGGCAGAGCACAGGCCCAGACUGAAUAUUUCUCAGACCUGAGAGCAGCCAUAACCUGGCCAGAGCAAACCCUGACAGGAACAGCGAUGCUCAGAGCAGGUUAAUUAAUAACUUGAGGCGCUGGAAAUAAAACCAGGUUGUAAUUGAGUGAUGUUUGCUUUAGAGCUGUGAUUCUUGGCCUGUGCCUGGUUUGUGGGAGCUGACAGUGCAGAGUGGCCUGGCUGGAUGUCCUCACUGAGAGUCACCACAGCGGGUCAGAAGGUGUUCAAGCAGGGCUGUGGGGUGGUGAGGGCAGGCACAGAGAGCAACGAGCUGACAGUGCUGGGUCUGGCACACUGCCCUGCCCUGCUCCACACCACUGCCCUGCCCUGCUCCACACCUCCGUCCUUGAUGGCACAUUUCCUGUGUGUUUCACCCUUCCUACACACAUCUCACCCUUCCUGAAUCUCCUGUAACAACAGACACAUUGUCAAGUUCCUCAUUGCUUACCUGAGAUGAACAUAGCAGCUCUGAUUUCUUGAUUUUGGGAGAUUUCCUGGUUAAAACUGUUGUAAUUAAACUUAGAUCUCUCAUAAGGCUAAAAAUGCUCCUGUGUGAAUGGCAGCUGGAUCUGCUUGUAAAAUGUCAGUGUCCCAAGACCUUUAAUGGUCUUGGGAGUCUAACAAUAGUACAGACAGUGCCUGCUCAAAGAUAAGGGCUCCAGGCAAAUGGAAGAAGGAAGCAAAUGCAGCAUCCCCAUGAAUCAGACAUCUUAGACAAAAAUGUUCUAAGUACAGGACACAUCUGGCUGUGUAUUUGUCAAGCAUGUUAUUGGCUUGAACUACACACACAGCACCCACAGCAAAUAAUUUUCACUGUAAGUCUGAGUGAGCGUCUCCACUUUCCUUUUAGGACUCAGUUUUGGACUUGGGAAAAAGUGUUCUCAGUCGAAAGGCCUCCAAGCAAGCCUGGGCUGGUCACAGCAGAGCAACAGCUGCACGAGCUUAAAUUCCUCUCCCCACCCUGCUGUACAAGCCGUGCCCCUCAGUCCUGUGCCUGGAGGAGAGGAAUGUCCAGCUUUCCUGCUUCCCUGCCAGCUCCACUGGCAUUUCCUAUUCCACAGCCAGCUGCACGUUAGGCGCCGACACCAUGAAGUGCUUUUUCAUGUGGGCAGUGCUGGUGGAACUAAGGAUCCCUUUUGGUCAGAACCCCCUGCAGAUGUUUGUGACAAUUUUUUAAUUCCCCCUUAUGCAACACGUCAGGCGCUUGUGAUAAUUUACUGCCACAGGAACCUCUUCCUGCACGCUGCUAACUGCGAGUCCUUCCGGACUGCUGGCAGGCACUGCCCAGGGAAAGGGAAAGACAAUGUGCAGAGGAAGGUGUCAGGAAGCAAAGAGAGCCCUGUCCUGCAUCAGCAGCUCCCAGGAGAGAGACAGGCAGAAAUGCAGCAAUGGCUGUGUGGGUUUAGUGGAAACUAACUUCAGUUAGAAACUAGCAAUGGCCUGCCCUCUUGAAGGUUAAAACAACUAAAAUAUCUGGAAAAGGUAUUUUAAUUUAAAACUUACUUAAAAAAAAAAAAAAAAAAAAAAAAAAAAAAAAAAAAAAGCUAAA